CGAAGUGGUCGCAGACUACAACAACAUUUCAACGAGGAAAUGUUACGAAGAAACACCACAAAUCCAAAACAACAUACAUUGAUAUAAACUCGUAUUAUGUAAUUGAAAAUCAAAUAAGUAGGUACCAAUUGGUGCGACAGAAAGGCAGUGGUGGGGUGAAAAGCCGAGGAGGUUGCGCAGGCGACGCUUUGCAGCUGGUGGCCUGCGCUGACAAGUGAGGAGGUGACGGCGGAAGCGGUGCUGGUAGAUACGGCGGAACCGGUGCCUAAAGCCAGCAUUUCUCUAUGUUUAUAAUCUGUUGCACUACACUAAUCAUAAAGUCACAUGCUUUAAUCAUCUAUGGAUGGUGCCCCAAUAUGAGCUUUGAUUCGAACAAAGCAAUGCGCUAAAUGAGAGAUGCAUUGCCAUUUUACAAGCAAUUUUGACAGCAACUUCAACUCUAACAAUGAAUCUCACACAAACAGGUUUGGAAUAUUUUUAACUCUUUGAUUUUUCACUAACGUAAUUCACAUUUACACUCAUCAAAACUUUUCUAAAAGGCAAAAACCUGAAAUAAAUAAGAGCAGUAAACGUUCGUAUGUUUCUCUUCCUCCAGUAAAAAAAAACCCACCAAAUGGAGCUUGAGCUAUAGCUCAACUCCGAAGCUAAAUUUCCUCAGUAGAAAAUUUUAAAAAAAAAUGCAAUACUUCACAUCCAUUUCAAAAAAUGCAAUACUUCGCAUCCAAAUUGGCUGCAUAACGCAUGCAAAUGAAAUUCGAUCAUCGAGCAACUGAAUUCAGUAUAAACUAAAACAUCGAAACUGCACCAUAACUCAUCAAUAUUCCUCCAACAAAAAUAAAAUAAAAUCAGCGUACUUAAAUGUCUAGGAGAGGGUGGCGGAGCGGCGCAGUCGCGCACUGCUGCUUGCAGCGCUAGGACGGAGGCUCCAAGGAAGGGCGUGCCCGCGCGCAACCGGAGGAGGCGGGAAGCGGUGGUGACGGUAAUUUCUCGCCGGACGGCCGAGUUAGUUAAGUGAGAGAGAGCAAGGAGUGGGGGUUGUGUGAUUGGAUAGAGAGAUGAGGGGGGUCAACGGCGAAGAGACGCCGGAUCUUAGGAAGGGAGAGGAGGCGGCGAAGAGGCCUGAUUUUUCUUUUAGAGAGAGAACCGGUGACUGAUAACUG
rnacentral:lncRNA from 1 species